UUGAACUGUACAUCUAUUAUUUUAAUAGUUAUCCUAUCAUUUAUUUAUAGACAAACUACAUCAUUCACAUUUUUGAGGAAAAAAAGGACAGAAACAUUACACUACAAUGUAGUAAGUGCACAUUCUUCCUCUCAACAGUGCGUUGAAAUCCAGAUUUCUUGCAUUCCUCUAUUUACAUGCCUGGGAUGAGAGGCCAUCUGUUCAACUGUCAAUUUUUUUUUUUUUUUUUUAUUAGGUUCAUGAUCAACCUAAUAACGACUGCCUUCAAAUUCCAUUGUGUGACAUGACAGCCUACAGGGCUACAUGAGAGCUGGAUGCCUUAAUGCUCUUAAAUGACAGUGCUGAGAGUGGACUUGCACAAACAAGUUCAUGUGUUCCCCAGCAGGUAAUUGAAUUGGAUGAGAUAGACAAGAAUCAACUGGCAGUUAUCAACAGGUUGUUCCCGACUGAAGUUAUCUCACUCACUGUGUUCGGAGGGUGAAAGCCGCACUGGUGAUGGAGGUCUCAAACAGCUGGUCAUAAAUACUUCUUUCUAUAUAAAGCUCUCUGGGGGAGCAGGGAAUAUCAUCUACAUUCUUCCACGAGUGGAGUUAAACACAGGACUGUUUGUGUUGAGCUAUGAAAUAGAGGCAGCCAUUUUGAUGUGAAAAAAGAUACGGCCAUCUCAGAACACCGAGGGGCUUGCGACAGACGAUUCGUAUUUGACAGGUUAUGAUUGAUGAUGGCAAGGUUUGGGGGACACUGGGAAGGCCAGUGACCUCUGGUCUCAGGCCAGGCCUACAGGGGACAACAGUCCUGGCACGAAUUCACUCACAGCGGGGGAGAACCUUUCGUCUAUUGGUUUUUAAUGUGUUCCGGACACAUAGUGAAGCUGAGAAGAUUUCAGCCAGAGUUUUCAUUUUCUUACUAUCGUCAAACUGAUAUUUGAUCCUGUGACUGAACUGAUGUGGAACGUCAUUCUGGGAGAGAAAUGCUGAUUUGGAAACAUUUUGCAUUUCGACUAUACAAAAUGAACUACGUAUCAAUUAUUUUUGUGAAUAACGAAAGACGACAUUUUGAA